rnacentral:rRNA from 1 species
GUGGGGAAUAUUGCACAAUGGGGGAAACCCUGAUGCAGCAACGCCGCGUGAGUGAAGAAGUAUUUCGAUAUGUAAAGCUCUAUCAGCAGGGAAGAAGAUGACGGUACCUGAGUAAGAAGCCCCGGCUAACUACGUGCCAGCAGCCGCGGUAAUACGUAGGGGGCAAGCGUUAUCCGGAUUUACUGGGUGUAAAGGGAGCGUAGACGGCAUAGCAAGUCUGAAGUGAAAGCCCAAGGCUCAACCAUGGGACUGCUUUGGAAACUGUUAAGCUAGAGUGCUGGAGAGGUAAGCGGAAUUCCUAGUGUAGCGGUGAAAUGCGUAGAUAUUAGGAAGAACACCAGUGGCGAAGGCGGCUUACUGGACAGUAACUGACGUUGAGGCUCGAAAGCGUGGGGAGCAAACAGGA